UCAUCCUCAUGUUUAUAUUUUGUUGAAAGUCAUCUGUGGCCUGUAGUGCAUAGAUGGACUUGGUAUGAUUAUGACCAGGGAUUAUUCGGUGUAAUCAUGACCGUAAUGUUAGAAAUGAUGUGGAAAAAGUCCUCCUUGGCCCGUAGUGCAUUGAUGGACAGUUUUUGGUAUGAUAAUGGCUAUGGAUUCUUUUCGGCCAAGGGUGCAAAGAUGAAUUAUUUUAU
rnacentral:lncRNA from 1 species